rnacentral:rRNA from 1 species
GAUGAACGCUGGCGGCGUGCCUAAUACAUGCAAGUCGAACGAAACUUCUUUAUCACCGAGUGCUUGCACUCACCGAUAAAGAGUUGAGUGGCGAACGGGUGAGUAACACGUGGGCAACCUGCCCAAAAGAGGGGGAUAACACUUGGAAACAGGUGCUAAUACCGCAUAACCAUAGUUACCGCAUGGUAACUAUGUAAAAGGUGGCUAUACUACCGCUUUUGGAUGGGCCCGCGGCGCAUUAGCUAGUUGGUAGGGUAAAGGCUUACCAAGGCAAUGAUGCGUAGCCAAAUUGGGGGGUUGUGCGGCCAACUUGGGACUGACACCCGGCCCAAACCCCUACGGGGGGCAGCAGGAGGGAAUUUUCCCAAAUGGGCGAAAGCCUGAUGGAGCAACGCCGGGGGGGGGAAGAAGGGCUUCGGAUCGUAAAACCCUUUUGUUGGAGAAAAAAGGGGGUGGGGGUAAUGUUUCACGUUUGGAGGGUAUUGAACCAGAAGGCCCGGGCUAACUACGU